AUGUUGCACGCCUGCGGGGGGAUGAGAAUCCCCGACCGGGGUUCGACAACUGGCGCAGCCAGUUGGACAGACUGUGAGCAAAGCGAACAGGCUGCCCGCAGGGCGAGCGAAGCGAGUCAAUCCCCCCCUCACCGCCA
rnacentral:sRNA from 1 species